AUGUUGCAAGCAAAAAUGAUCGUGUACUCAUCUAAAAGCUCAAAGGGAACGUUGUUUCCUGUACGAUCAAUGCUUGUCUUCUUCAUUGCACUAUUUGGUUUGUAUGCCUGCUACUUCUCCUUCACUCAAAUAGCCUUAGAAAAUGAAGAAGAAAUGAACGGAGCAGAAGAACGAACAAACGUUCUAUGCAAAAGACCUUCAGAAAUUCCAUAUGAUCAGAUGCAGUAUGUGCACUUUCCAAGACCUAUGAGUUACGACAGGGGAGAAUGCGCAUGUACCCCGGUCCGUUUCCUCGUCAUUAUAUCUAUGCAAAGAUCAGGCAGUGGGUGGUUUGAGACUCUGCUCAACAGCCACCCCAAUGUGAGCUCAAAUGGUGAAAUCUUCUCGGUGAGGGAGCGCAGAGAGGAUAUUGCGUCGAUCUUGUGGACUCUUGACAAGCUGUAUGAUUUGGAUUGGCGCACCAGCGCAGCAAAAAAUGAAUGCACGGCUGCAUUUGGAUUGAAGUGGAUGCUAAAUCAGGGUCUUAUGGAUUAUCCAGAUGAGAUUGUGGAUUAUUUGAUCAAAAAGGGUGUGAUGGUGAUAUUUCUCUUCAGGAGGAAUACAUUAAGGAGGCUCGUCUCUGUGUUAGCGAACGACCAUGACAAAAAGGAGAAGCAGUUGAACGGCACCCACAAAGCGCAUGUGCACUCACAAGAGGAGGCUGAGAUCCUAGCGAGGUUCAAACCGGAGGUGGACGUGUCAUCUCUGAUCCCAAGCAUGAGAAGCGCGGAGCAGUCCAUGGACGCCUGCCUGCGCCGCUUCCGCGCCACGCGCCACAUGAUCCUCUACUACGAGGACUUAAUCCGCGACAACAAUGCGCUGUCUCGGGUGCAGGAGUUCCUGGGGCUCCCGGUGAGGAGGCUGUCCAGCAGGCACGUCAAGAUCCACACAAGCCCACUCCCGGACCUGGUGGACAACUGGGAGGACGUGAGACGCACGCUCAAGCCCACGGAGUUUGCUCGUUUCCUUGACGGCUGA
rnacentral:rRNA from 1 species